GAUAUCUAACGAAAACUCUAAAAUAUCAGCUAAAAGAAUAUUCACAUUCUUCCUCAGACUCAGGUUCGAGUCAGAUUCAAAACUAAAUAAAAGCUUCACGUGAUCACCAAAUCGAAGAUAAUGGUAAUCUUGAACUAAAAAUUGAGCAAAUACAGUUGAGUCAGAAGUUUACAUAGGUAUAUUCGCGAUACUAGGCCCUGGCGUUCCUCAGUCAAAACGCUGAGAUAAGCGAGAAAAAAGAAGUUAAAAAUACCUCCACGAAUGUUAUCAAAGGCACGAAUAGAGGCGGGGGGCAGCACGUGUAGUGGUCGGCGUAGUACUGGCGGUCAAGGUCGUCCGUCAGGAACUCCCUCGCCACCCUGCGGACCAUGGCUCGGAACAGCGGGUUGGUUUCCGGCUGAUCAAGCGUCUGGUAGGGCACGAUGUCCCGCGUGACGGGAACCAGGCGUCUGGGACCUUCCGUUUCCACGGCUAGCCGGAAGCUAGUGGUUCGUCUAUUGCUCAUCUAUAAAAUAUAUUUGAACUUUUGUAUUUAAUUCAAUGUAUUAAUGACAUCGUUCAAUGUAAGACUGUUUACACGUGUUUUCGACAGUGCGCCGAUACAAAUUCCUUGGAUUUGUUAUGGCGUUGCAAAUAAAACAUAAUUCAACUUGA